AUUGAACGCUGGCGGCAUGCCUUACACAUGCAAGUCGAACGGUAACAGGUCUUCGGAUGCUGACGAGUGGCGAACGGGUGAGUAAUGCAUCGGAACGUGCCCAGUUGUGGGGGAUAACUGCUCGAAAGAGCAGCUAAUACCGCAUACGACCUGAGGGUGAGAGCGGGGGAUCGCAAGACCUCGCGCAAUUGGAGCGGCCGAUGUCAGAUUAGGUAGUUGGUGGGGUAAAGGCCUACCAAGCCGACGAUCUGUAGUGGGUCUGAGAGGACGACCAGCCACACUGGGACUGAGAGACGGCCCAGACUCCUACGGGAGGGAGCAGUGGGGGAUUGUGGACGAUGGGCGCAAGCCUGAUCCAGAAAUGCCGCGUGCAGGAAGAAGGCCUUCGGGUUGUAAACUGCUUUUGUCAGGGAAGAAAUCCUCUGGGUUAAUACCCCGGGGGGAUGACGGUACCUGUAGAAUAAGCACCGGCUAACUACGUGCCAGCCGCCGCAGUAACAC
rnacentral:rRNA from 1 species